ACGCCACUCUGCUGGCCGUCCAUUGGCCCGAAAAUUUGCUCCAAGCCUUACGUCAAGAUCAGAUUCCCAUUUUAACUGCUAAAACUAUAAAGAUUACUUUUUUAUUUCAGUUUUCCCUCUUUUGUUUCCAUUCUGCAAUUUGCACCUCUCCGUUUUCUGCAUUCAAAGCUCCAACACAGACAGACAGAGAGAGAGAGAGAGGAGAGAGAGAGAGGAGAGAGGGGUUUCUGUGGGUGGGAGAGGAAGCCCGAGAAUCAAAAGCUCCUCUUUCUUCUUUCACCCAUCUUGGAAUACCCAGAAAGUCUCUCUGAUCUCUCUUUUCUUCGUAAUAUCUGUGCAAUUGCUGAAUCCGUUACGGUUAUACUUAAUCCAUUUUUUCUUUAAUUUGCAAAUUCACAGCCAUCUUUAUUUAUUUAUUGCUGGAAUUUGUGAUCCUUGGAUUCUGGUUUUUCAGCAUUCUUCUUUUUUAAGUUUCAUAUCUGAAGCUUGUGAUAGAUCUGCUAACCUGAUAACGAUAGAUUCUAUUUGCUUUUUACACUUUACAAUUGUCACAACAACUUAGUUAGUUUUAACCUUUUUCGUAUUCUCCUGUUUUCCCAAAGAUUAUUACUGCCAAGAUUUGAUUUUUAGUGGUGUCUUGAAAUCGAAUUCUUGAUACAGUGACAUAUACCCAUCUUGAAAAGAAAUUGGACGAGGCCCACAAUUGAGGUUUGGUGGCCUUCGUCUGAGACAGUAUGAACUCAUUCUUGAUGUAGAUUCGGAGAUCCCUUUUCCUCCUUUUUUAACAAGGAGUGGGUGAAGAAGAGGUUUAUAUAUAUAUAUAUAUAAUUAUAUAUAUACAUUUUCUUUACUAGACUCAUUUGCUUUCCCGUAUUGGUUGGUCUAAGAAGAGGUUUAUAAUAUAUAUAAAUAUUAUCCAUAUUUAUAUACCUGUGUGAUUGGAGUCUAGAUCCUCUUUGCCAUGUUGUUCUUCCUGUUCACCUGCUGCUUCUCUUUCGUCUUCUUCUAUAAGUCACUUGCCAUCAAGCCACUCCCACCAUGGGCUCAUGGGAUGCGGCUGCUAUCUCUCUGUUUUUGGAAAGAUUUUUCAUUUUUGUGGUUGAUCAAGUUGGUUAAGAGCACCAUUUUUGGUGUGAUUUCCUCACUUUUAGCUUCAAGAGUGUCACCUAGGAAGAAGAACUCUAGUGUGGAGAGCGUUGAGGUGGCAUGGGAGAUGUCUGUCUUGGACUUGCCUGACCUUGUGUUAGAGACCAUUCUUGAGAAGCUCCCGCCGGAGGGGCUUUGCAGGAUGGCAACUGUGUGUGUUUCUUUGAGAGAGAGGUGCAUAAGUGAUCACUUGUGGGAGAAGCACAUGAAAAACAAAUGGUCUAAAAUUGUUGGCCCUUCUGCAUAUAGGGAGUGGCAAUUGUAUAUUGCUGCGGGACAAGGUCUGGCCUUUUCGAACCAAGGCAAACAGAAUAGCCUUGCUGGCUAUCUAACUCAUCUAUGGCCAAUUGUGUUAAUCCGGUCCAGUUUUAGCAGUGGUACCAAGAAGAGGAACUUCCCUCCAGUUGAUUCCCUCAUGUCUUGGUAUACUGCGCUCGAGUCUGGCAAGUUUUGGUUCCCUGCGCAAGUCUACAACCGUGAGAAUGGCCAUGUUGGAUUUAUGCUAUCAUGCUAUGAUGCUGAGCUUUCCUAUGAUAAGAAAACCAACACUUUCCAGGCCAGAUAUCCGCCACAUGGAAGGAGAGCAAGUCCAACAGAAAGCGGUAUAACAUGGGAUAGGCUUAGAGCUCCCCCUGUCGACACUUCUCCACAUGAUCUUCAUGAAUCUGAUUGUUUACAUGAGUUAAAGCCUGGGAAUCAUGUUGAAAUUCAAUGGAGAAGAAACAAAGAAUUUCCAUAUGGUUGGUGGUAUGGUGUUGUAGGCCACUUGGAAACAUGUGAUGGGAACCCCAAUUACUGCCACUGUCAUGAAAGUGACACUGUGGUGCUGGAGUUCAACCAGUACAAUCGCGGUUCACGUUGGAGAACAACAAACGUAGAUAGGAAAAACCAUAGGGAAGAGGGGAAUGAGGCCGAUGGAUUUUAUGGUGGGAUCCGGAAACUCUGCAGCAAUGAAGAGAUAUCGACAUGGAAGAAGAUCUGGCCUACUGAAGUAUUGGAGUAGGAGACCUGAUUUUCAGCACUCGGAUGUGGUUUUUUGCUAAGUAGCUCGGUCCAAAACUGGACCAAUUUCCCCCCCCUUCUAUUUCAUACGAAAUAGUUUGAUCACAACUGUGCAUAUCACCUCCAUUUGAUUACAGAUAAAUGUCUGAUAAAAGGCCACAACGCUAAGCUUGUUUAGGCUCCUUGUAGGAAGCCUUAAUUUCAUUAGGGACUCAAAUGUGCAUCAAGAUCAUAAACACUGAAGCAUUGGCAAAUUGAAGGAGAAAGCCUGAUGAUGGGCUUCUUAAGCUAAGCAAAAUGCGGCGGAGGGCUUGUAUGGUACAACAGCCAUCUUUGCGUUAGCAGGUAUCGUCUUCUUGGUAUUAUUACCAUGGCCAUUUCCUUUAAAUCUGAAGCUCAAUCUGCCAAAAUAACUGAAGUUGUGCGCUUCUGUGCUCAUCUUUGUCUGCUUUGAUCCACUGUGUCCUCUUCCAAAUGAUGCAUACUUCACUAGCAAUCCUUUGAGUUUCUGGACUUUACUUGCCUCUACGUUUCCACGUCUCUUUCCCACGUGAUUUGCUGCAGGCGAAGGAGGCUUAUCCGACCCACUCAGAGGUCUAACUCGUUGUCUGAAGAGUAACCUGCUUGGGCUCUUCGGGCUGAGCCCAUGCCUGCUCUGGUCGCGGACCCAUCUUGCAUAUGCUGAGCCCUUGAAGUCCAGUGGUCCGCUGAAGCUUGAUGCAAGUGCUGGCGCUGGCAUUGGCUCCACGAGGCUGUUUCCACGCAAAAGAUCUGGACUGUGACUCUGAGCAUCAUUAUCAUGAGUGACAGUGGUUGAGCUUCUGGAGAAAGCCCUGAACGGUGAGUAUGAUCGUGAGCUCCUGUGGUGGCUGUUCCGUCCUCUCUUUUCCUCCCGCACCUUCUCCAGCGCCACCAUGAAAGGGUCAAAAUCAUCGUUCCGUGAACUCUUCCGUGCAAACGGGAUCCUGCACACCGUUGCUGGAGACCUAGGCGACGACAGAGCAGACUUGUGCAGCCUUGGAGGGGGCUUGAGGGGCAUGACUACGCCAUUGAGGGGCAGCUCGAGGGGCAUCACUAGGCCAUUGAGGAAGAGCUCAUCAGCAAACGCCAUGGCAGGGAGCGAAUCCCCACGUUCGUGGCCACGAUCACCACUCACCGGCGACUCCCUCUCACCGCUAAACCUCUUGCUGGUUCCAAACUCGAACUCAUCAACUCUCGAGCUCAGAUUGUCACCACCGGCCUUGAUCAUGGCCCGUUGGGGGCUGGCUGGGGCGCUGUAGUAGAACUCCAUGCUGUGGCCAUUUGGGCUACUUGGAGCAGUCAUAUAGAGGCAAGGUGCAUCAUUUUUGAAUUCCAUAUUCCUAUUUUUUUGUUUAAAUAAUGUUGGGAGUGGCAGAAAAUAAGAAGUGCUUUUUCCUCACAACAUGAGAAUUAGUGGAGUUUUUUAGCAAAGUGUGCUGUGAUUGUGCUGUGUUGUGCUACUGAAUUUAAGGAGUUUUUUGUUUGACUCCUUGCUUGUAUAAUGAGGAAUCAAAAGUAGAGGAAAAAUGGGAAUUAUAUACUUGUUUGUGUCUGUUCAA